AUACGGAGGAUCCGAGCGUUAUCCGGAUUUAUUGGGUUUAAAGGGUGCGCAGGCGGCCAUUUAAGUCAGCGGUUAAAUCGUGGGGCUCAACCCCAUUCUGCCGUUGAUACUGGGUGGCUUGAUUGCGGUCGAGGUUGGCGGAAUUCGUGGUGUAGCGGGGAAAUGCUUAGAUAUCACGAAGAACUCCGAUUGCGAAGGCAGCCUACAAGGCCUUUACUGACGCUAAAGCUCGAAGGUGCGGGUAUCGAACAGGAUUAGAUACCCUGGUAGUCCGCACGGUAAACGAUGGAUGCCCGCUGUUCGCGAUAGACUGUGAGCGGCCAAGAGAAAGCGUUAAGCAUCCCACCUGGGGAGUACGCCGGCAACGGUGAAACUCAAAGGAAUUGACGGGG
rnacentral:rRNA from 1 species